GAAAGUGAAUGAAAAAAUUAAAAAAAAAAAAACUCUUCUCAUCUUUUCCAAAAUGGAAGAAUGGCAAAAUUUUUUUUUUUUGGAUUUGUC
rnacentral:ribozyme from 1 species